GACGAACGCUGGCGGCGUGCUUAACACAUGCAAGUCGAACGGAAAGGCCCUGCUUUUGUGGGGUGCUCGAGUGGCGAACGGGUGAGUAACACGUGAGUAACCUGCCCUUGACUUUGGGAUAACUUCAUGAAACUGGGGCUAAUACCGGAUAGGAGCUCCUGCUGCAUGGUGGGGGUUGGAAAGUUUCGGCGGUUGGGGAUGGACUCGCGGCUUAUCAGCUUGUUGGUGGGGUAGUGGCUUACCAAGGCUUUGACGGGUAGCCGGCCUGAGAGGGUGACCGGCCACAUUGGGACUGAGAUACGGCCCAGACUCCUACGGGAGGCAGCAGUGGGGAAUAUUGCACAAUGGGCGGAAGCCUGAUGCAGCAACGCCGCGUGCGGGAUGACGGCAUUCGGGUUGUAAACCGCUUUCGCCUGUGACGAAGCGUGAGUGACGGUAAUGGGUAAAGAAGCACCGGCUAACUACGUG
rnacentral:rRNA from 1 species